CCUACGGGUGGCAGCAGUGGGGGAUAUUGCACAAUGGGGGAAACCCUGAUGCAGCGACGCCGCGUGGGUGAAGAAGUAGUUCGGUAUGUAAAGCCCUAUCAGCAGGGAAGAAGAAAGGACGGUACCAGAGUAAGAAGCACCGGCUAAAUACGUGCCAGCAGCCGCGGUAAUACGUAUGGUGCAAGCGUUAUCCGGAUUUACUGGGUGUAAAGGGAGCGAAGGCGGCAGGGCAAGCCUGAUGUGAAAGCCCGCGGCCCAACCGCGGGACUGCAUUGGGAACUACCGGGCUGGAGUGCCGGAGCGGUAGGCGGAAUUCCUCGUGUAGCGGUGAACUGCGUAGAUAUUAGGCGGAACCCCAGUGGCGAAGGCGGCCUACUGGACGGUGACUGACGCUGAGGCUCGAACGCGUGGGGAGCAACCAGGAUUAGAUACCCGGGUAGUC
rnacentral:rRNA from 1 species